CCCUUAGAUGUUCUGGGCCGCACGCGUGCUACACUGAGUGGAUCAGCGGGUCAGGUUACGCGAGAGCGUUUCCUAAUCUUCAAAUCCGCUCGUGAUGGGGAUUGACGGUUGCAAUUUUCCGUCAUGAACGAGGAAUACCUUGUAAGCGCGGGUCAUCAUCCCGCGCUGAAUACGUCCCUGCCCUUUGUACACACCGCCCGUCGCUCCCACCGAUUGAGUGGUCCGGUGAGGCUUUGGGAUCUAAGCGAAAAGAGCGUUUCGCUCCUUUUGCUGGGAGAACUCAGUCGAACCUUAUCAUUUAGAGGAAGGAGAAGUCGUAACA
rnacentral:rRNA from 1 species